AUGGGUCGCUGUAGAAUCGUGACCUGGUGCAGUAGAUCAUCCGAUCCGCUACAUCCCGCUCGACUCCUUACUCCUUGCAACCAGUUCCCGCUCCUGCCGUGCAGGCGCGCUUCUAAUAUUGAGUUUCAAGGAUACAAAGACAUGUCGAAUCGUCAGAACGGUACCGUCAAGUGGUUUAACGACGAAAAAGGUUUUGGUUUCAUCACUCCUGAGAGCGGUCCGGAUCUGUUCGUGCACUUCCGCGCGAUCGAAGGUAACGGCUUCAAGAGCCUGAAAGAAGGCCAGAAAGUCAGCUUCAUCGCUGUGCAAGGUCAAAAAGGCAUGCAGGCUGACCAGGUUCAAAUCCAGGAAUAAGCCCCGCUCCGAAAAGCCCCUGAUGGCAACAUCAGGGGCUUUUUU
rnacentral:misc_RNA from 1 species